rnacentral:tRNA from 1 species
GCCCAGGUGGCGGAACUGGUAGACGCGCUAGGUUCAGGUCCUAGUGGAAGCAAUUCCAUGGAAGUUCGAGUCUUCUCCUGGGCACCA